rnacentral:rRNA from 4 species
CCGCGGCCUAUCAGCUUGUUGGUGGGGUGAUGGCCUACCAAGGCGGUGACGGGUAGCCGGCCUGRGAGGGCGACCGGCCACACUGGGACUGAGACACGGCCCAGACUCCUACGGGAGGCAGCAGUGGGGAAUAUUGCGCAAUGGGCGGAAGCCUGACGCAGCGACGCCGCGUGGGGGAUGACGGCCUUCGGGUUGUAAACCUCUUUCGCCAGGGACGAAGAGUGAUUGACGGUACCUGGAGAAGAAGCACCGGCCAACUACGUGCCAGCAGCCGCGGUAACACGUAGGGUGCGAGCGUUGUCCGGAAUUAUUGGGCGUAAAGAGCUCGUAGGCGGUGUGUCGCGUCGGCCGUGAAAACUUGGGGCUUAACUCUGAGCGUGCGGUCGAUACGGGCAUCACUUGAGUUCGGCAGGGGAGACUGGAAUUCCUGGUGUAGCGGUGAAAUGCGCAGAUAUCAGGAGGAACACCGGUGGCGAAGGCGGGUCUCUGGGCCGAUACUGACGCUGAGGAGCGAAAGCGUGGGGAGCGAACAGGAUUAGAUACCCUGGUAGUCCACGCCGUAAACGUUGGGCGCUAGGUGUGGGGACCAUUCCACG